CCCCAAUAUCAGCGCAUCCCGUUUCGCGGGGCGGGUGUUGGGGUUAGAGCCACCGAGUAGUGGCCGCAGGCUUGAGGAGAGCCGCCGAGUGGUGGUUCGGGGGGGGAAAUCUGCCAAGCUCAAAGGUCAGGCAAGCGAGAGGUUUACCGAGUCGGAAAGUCGGGCGAGUAAAAAGAUAUACCAAGUCCAAAAUACUGCCGGCAACAUAUCCGGGACCCCGAGUAAGUCGGGGAAGAAGUUGGCGGAUGUUUUUCCAGCCAACUCAACUUUGACCAAUUUACCUGCCCGAGCUCACGGGUAGGCUGCGGUUAAUUUUUGGACUUUGCGGAUUUACUUGAAUCAAUUCACAGGAAGUUACCUGCCAAAUUGCCUGGGCUCCCGGGUAGGCUAUAGUUGACUUUUGGACUUGGCGGAUUUUUUUAAACUUACUUCCCCGACUAUAACCUGGGAUUUUCCCGACCAUAGCUCACGGGUAGGUUAGUUGUGAUAAGUCCACAAAUAAAUUACAGCCUACCCGGUAGGCCUGUAUAUUUCCCGCGCGAUUUCCUGUGAAGACCAAAAAGUUAGGUGUUUUAGUACUUAAUUUAUAUAGGUAUAAGUUGAUUUUUUUGUUUUUAUAUAUAUAUAAAUUUUGCGGAAAAUAAAAAAUAAACCACGAGAGCCCGGUAGCGGAGGCGAGCCCUUAAGGUAGUCGGUAAGUAUAUAAGAGAGAGGGCUGGACACGCGUCGCGUCGCGUAUUUCCACCGCACCUAAUACUUUUGGCUUUAGGGUAGGCUGCUUGUUUAGAGGCGCGCUGAAUUAGAUGGUCUCUUAAGUGAGGGGAUUUCUCUGCUGGCAGUUGCCUGUAAUCCGGGAGUCCGUGGUGGUAAAGUCAGCUAUAAGGCUUGUGUGUGUGUGGGUGCGCGGGUGUGUGUGCCGGGGCCCUGUAAGUCCCGACCAGGAACCCUACAGGUCACGUGCCGACACAGUAAGACAGAUAAGAUAUACGGCACGUGUUAGUACACGUGCCAAUACAAGUAAGUGACGAUAAGAUCGAUAAGAUACCUGCACUUACCCUGUAGCACUGCUGGUACCGGCCACCGUCGCGUGCACGCGGCUGCCGUCGGCCGUGGUGGAGGGUUACCCGGGACCACGGUGCAUUUUUCCUUUUUUUCCAUUUUUUCAAAAUCGACGACCAAAAGGUUGGUAGGUCUGGGUUGCCUUGCUGGCCAAUAGAGAUUUGUACGGCGCUACUAUAGGGUAGGUACAGGGUAGGCUGUGCCGGUACUUGCGGUCGCACACAAAUCCCUAGCAGCCUGAAGUACCCCCGCGCGGGCAGCCUCAAACCGCUAUAGCUGCUCCCAGCGGCAUCGCAGACAACUAUGAGGGCCACCAUUCGAUUCGUCUCGCCGAGCUGCAUCGAUUGAGCCCGGGUUGCCAAAAAGUCGGGUGUUUUGGUAUUUGAUUUGUAUGGGCGUGAGUCGAUUUUUUUGUUUUCCCAUACAAAUGAAUUUUGCGGAAAAUAAAAAAUGGACCACGAGCGCCCGGUGGCGGAGGUGGACCCUCGAGGUGGUCGGUGGGUAUGUGAGAAGGGGGCGUCGAAAGAUGCCGGGACAGCUGGGUCUUCGCUGAAAGGCAGGAUUUCCGGUGAGUCACCGCCCUCUCUGUACCAUAUCUUGCCGAGCCCCAGUGCUUGAGUGGCCUCCUGAACACGCCUGUGGAAGGUUUCUUUUACAGGCUGGGAGGUCACACUGGGGAUUCAAACUCCACGAAGUCGGCGGCUACGGCCGUGCGGCGUACUGGUUAUACCUCGUGGCAGUGGGAGGCACCCGCCUCUUACCGCUCAGGAGAUGGGUUCUGUGGGCUGCUGGCCGCUGGCCAACAUGCCGUAAAUCAGAAUAACGGGAGGCAACCACGGGUAGCUGACGCCGAAAUGGCAGAGGCUGCACGGAGCGUCCUCCUCUUAGGGCACCUAUACCGCACUCUACGGUGCGUGUGGACGGCUGCGCCUAGGGAAUUGAGAGGGGGAAAGCGGAUUUGCCGCUGGGCGGUCUCUCCCGGUCAAACGGGCAGGGCACCUCCCGGCGCGCAGCACCCUUUCGAGUGGGGGAAAGGUGUGCCGACCAGUAACUUGGACUAUUCUCUCCGGCGCCCUUAACAGGGCGUCGGUAGGCCAACCCCGGCGAACGAUAGU
rnacentral:misc_RNA from 1 species